rnacentral:rRNA from 1 species
GACGAACCGUGCGAACGUUGUUCGGAAUCACUGGGCUUAAAGGGCGCGUAGGCGGCCCGCCGCGUCCGGGGUGAAAUCCUCCCGCUCAACGGGAGAACGGCCUCGGAUACGGGCGGGCUGGAGGGGGGUAGGGGCGGGCGGAACUGUGGGUGGAGCGGUGAAAUGCGUUGAGAUCCACAGGAACUCCGGUGGCGAAGGCGGCCCGCUGGACCCCAUCUGACGCUGAGGCGCGAAAGCGUGGGGAGCAAACAGG